UACAGAGGUCCCAAGCGUUGUUCGGAUUUACUGGGCGUAAAGGGUGCGUAGGUGGCGGGGUAAGUCAGGUGUGAAAUCUCGGGGCUCAACCCCGAAACUGCACUUGAUACUGCCUUGCUCGAGUACUGGAGAGGAGAUUGGAAUUUACGGUGUAGCAGUGAAAUGCGUAGAUAUCGUAAGGAAGACCAGUGGCGAAGGCGAAUCUCUGGACAGUUACUGACACUGAGGCACGAAGGCCAGGGGAGCAAACGGG
rnacentral:rRNA from 1 species